rnacentral:rRNA from 1 species
CAGUGGCGAACGGGUGAGUAACACGUGAGUAACCUGCCCCAGACUCUGGGAUAAGCCUUGGAAACGAGGUCUAAUACUGGAUAUGAGAUGCCCCUGCAUGGGGAGUGUCUGGAAAGAUUUAUCGGUCUGGGAUGGACUCGCGGCCUAUCAGCUUGUUGGUGGGGUAAUGGCCUACCAAGGCGACGACGGGUAGCCGGCCUGAGAGGGCGACCGGCCACACUGGGACUGAGACACGGCCCAGACUCCUACGGGAGGCAGCAGUGGGGAAUAUUGCACAAUGGGCGCAAGCCUGAUGCAGCGACGCCGCGUGAGGGAUGAAGGCCUUCGGGUUGUAAACCUCUUUCAGCAGGGAAGAAGCGCAAGUGACGGUACCUGCAGAAGAAGCGCCGGCUAACUACGUGCCAGCAGCCGCGGUAAUACGUAGGGCGCAAGCGUUGUCCGGAAUUAUUGGGCGUAAAGAGCUCGUAGGCGGUUUGUCGCGUCUGGUGUGAAAACUCAAGGCUCAACCUUGAGCUUGCAUCGGGUACGGGCAGACUAGAGUGCGGUAGGGGUGACUGGAAUUCCUGGUGUAGCGGUGGAAUGCGCAGAUAUCAGGAGGAACACCGAUGGCGAAGGCAGGUCACUGGGCCGCAACUGACGCU